rnacentral:rRNA from 1 species
CCUACGGGAGGCAGCAGUGAGGAAUAUUGGUCAAUGGACGAGAGUCUGACCCAGCCAAGUAGCGUGAAGGAUGAAUGCCCUAUGGGUUGUAAACUUCUUUUAUAUGGGAAUAAAAUGUUCUACGUGUGUGAUUUUGUAUGUACCAUAUGAAUAAGGAUCGGCUAACUCCGUGACAGCAGCCGCGGUAAUACGGAGGAUCCGAGCGUUAUCCGGAUUUAUUGGGUUUAAAGGGAGCGUAGGUGGAUUGUUAAGUCAGUGGUGAAAGUUUGCGGCUCAACCGUAAAAUUGCAGUUGAACAUGUCAGGCGUGAGUACAGUAGAGGUAGGCGGAAUUCGUGGUGUAGCGGUGAAAUGCUUAGAUAUCACGAAGAACACCGAUUGCGAAGGCAGCUCACUGGACUGCAACUGACACUGAGGCUCGAAAGUGUGGGUAUCAAACAGGAUUAGAUACCCGAGUAGUC